rnacentral:rRNA from 1 species
CAGUAGCCGCGGUAAUACGAAGGGGGCUAGCGUUGCUCGGAAUGACUGGGCGUAAAGGGCGCGUAGGCGGAUGGCACAGUCAGAUGUGAAAUUCCCGGGCUUAACCUGGGGGCUGCAUUUGAUACGUGUUGUUUAGAGUGAGGAAGAGGGUCGUGGAAUUCCCAGUGUAGAGGUGAAAUUCGUAGAUAUUGGGAAGAACACCGGUGGCGAAGGCGGCGACCUGGUCCUUGACUGACGCUGAGGCGCGAAAGCGUGGGGAGCAAACAGGAUUAGAUACCCGAGUAGUCCCUGUCUCUUAUAA